GGAAGGGGGAGGGGGCGAGCUUUUCAGCAUCCGGACGCGGCCCUUCCCGGCGGCUGGAUCCAUCCAUCUGUGGGAGCUCCGAGUUGUCCCAGCCGAGCGGUUGGGGAGGAGGACAGCCGGCGGCCGGGGGGCAGCAACUUCUGAUUCGUUUUGCAGUAUUCGCGCGGUACACUCGAGCGUGCGUGGUUGCUCCGCUGCUACAGCACCGGCCUGCGCCGGAUCCUCCUACCCUUGCUAGCAGGCUCCGAAAGCGGCGGCAGGCACCUGCUCCGGGUGGCUGCGGCGCUGACGGCGCGACGCGCUCGUGCUGGGUAGAACCGUACUGCCGGUGCAGGGUCCCGCAGUCUCGCUCCGGAGUUCUCUGCUGAAGGCUAAGCAGACAGCUUCGCCAGUGAGCGCCUGGAAGCUGAGUUAGACCACCCCACCCGCUGGCGUCCGCCGAAGUUUAGGAUUCGGAAGAUUCCCCUAGUACAGCCCAUUUUCCUUCACUCGCUCUUCCUCUCUUUCGAAGCAGCUAACGGAAAAAGUUGCAUCCAAAAGCUCAAGGAACACGGAAAGCGCUCACGCAGUCGAAGCCGCCCUUGGUGCCUCCCUGCCCCUUACCCAGAGGCCGAACACCCCCUUGACAGCGCUCCUUGUCACAAAGAGAAGGUCUACUCGAGUAGGAUCCUAGUUUUCCCUAAAUCCAAACCUGUGCGCGCCCCCAGUGUUUGAAUGUGUCAGAGACUUUUAGAGUUUUGUUUUGUUUUCAGUCCAGACCGCUGCGCUGUUAGAACAGGCAACUCCUCCGCUCCUGAACAAGUAGUCUCUUACAAAACCGAGGCGCCGGUGGAGCCUGCCUUUAAUGGGGUCCUCACUCCGAGGUGCUGGAAGACCAUCCGGUCUGGAACCUAAAAGGAGGAGAUCUGGCGCUAGCGGGGUGGGGAGAGGCGAAUAAAAGCACCUUUGGGGAGGCAAAAGUGUCACACCUGGAGCAAGAAGCACAUGGGCACUGAAAUUCUAAUAGUUGGGGAAAGGAGACUUCAACGUGUGUGUGUGUGAGGGGGGGUGUAGCCUGACUUCUGGCUCUAGGUAUGAGACGUUGGGGUGUAUGUGUGUAUGUGUGUCCCAAGGUGAAUAAAAGUCGGACUCCCCCUGGAU
ensembl:lncRNA